UUACGGGAGGCAGCAGUGGGGAAUUUUGCGCAAUGGGGGAAACCCUGACGCAGCAACGCCGCGUGAGUGAUGAAGGCCUUCGGGUCGUAAAGCUCUGUCAGAGGGAAAGAAAUGUAUGCAUGUUAAUACCAUGUGUACUUGACGGUACCCUCAAAGGAAGCACCGGCUAACUCCGUGCCAGCAGCCGCGGUAAUACGGAGGGUGCGAGCGUUGUUCGGAAUUAUUGGGCGUAAAGCGCGUGUAGGCGGUUCUUUAAGUCUGAUGUGAAAGCCCCGGGCUCAACCUGGGAAGUGCAUUGGAAACUGGAGGACUUGAGUACGGGAGAGGGUAGUGGAAUUCCCAGUGUAGGAGUGAAAUCCGUAGAUAUUGGGAGGAACACCGGUGGCGAAGGCGGCUACCUGGACCGAUACUGACGCUGAGACGCGAAAGCGUGGGGAGCAAACAGGAUUAGAUACCCUGGUAGC
rnacentral:rRNA from 1 species